rnacentral:tRNA from 1 species
AUGGAAACAUACUAAGUGAUCAGCUUUCAAUUCAAGAAANCCCUGGAAUUAGAAAUGGGCAAUCCUGAGCCAAAUCCUGUUUUCUUNAANAAAANAAGGAAUUCAAUCNAAAGAAAAAGAAUCAANAAGAGGAUAGGUGCGGAGACUCAAUGGAAGCUGWKCUAAAAAAUGGAGUUGACUGCUGCAUUAUGYUAGUCAAGUCAAGGAAUCCUUGCAUCAAAACUUUCAAAAAGAUGAAGGAUAAACUUYCUUUCUAUAAAACUCUAAAAAGAAAAAUACUUUUUCAAUCAAUUGGAAGUKGAAUAAAGAAUCAAAUAUGAUUUGAUCAAAUCAUUUACUCCAAAGUCUGAUAUAUCUUUUUCAAAAUGGAUUAGUCAGAUGAGAAUAAAGAUAGAGUCCCAUUCUAUAUGUCAGUA